rnacentral:lncRNA from 1 species
AUGAAUAAGAAGCCUUCUGCAGUCUGUGGCGCUGAGGCACAGGCCUGGUUUCUGCCUUCCAUCCGAUCCAAAGCAAUUCCAGAUUCUUCCAGGAUGUUUUUUAGGCACAGGCAUCGGAACUGCAGGCAUGCCCGUAUCUCUUCAACCAUGCCUGUGCUUCCAGCCACAGUUGUGGCAUUGCACUUUCAUGCCAUUCCUGCUUCACCGAAAUGCUGCUCUCAUUUCACUCUUCACCGUUGGAGUCCAUGUCUAUUAAUGGUGUAUGUCUGCAGCGGAGUGAGUGCUACAAAAGAUGGACUCUACCUAUAA